GCUGAAAGGACUGUUUUAAAAUCAGUUGGCAUCCAUUUAGAUGCGCUGUAGUCGGUUUUGUUGGUACAGCACAGGGAAGACAGCAGCAGGGCUGGUAGGUUAGGUAAUCACAUAGAAAGACACAAACCCGAUAUGCCAACAGUCCCUAUAUGGUCUAGAUAGUCCCUAUUUCCGACCAAAAUUUCUUCUUUCUGUCUUUAGGGGCUGCUGACCCUCGUGCACUGCCUUGCAGGGAUUGUGUUCACAUGACCCGAUCUUACAAUGUCAUAUCCAGUCAUAUUGGAGAAGCGUAUUGUUUCCUCCCUACUGCAGCAAUAUGAUUUGAUGUUUAUGAGUUAGAGUAAAACGUGGGAGCCAAUGGAACGUGUGGAAAUUAAUUUAGCUACACCUCCUCGCUGGUGUCCCGCUGAACAAUUUCCAAAUGUUGGCAAAUAUGGUACAAUGCAGUCUUGGGCAUAGUAUAUUUUCCAUGUUAUAAGCAGCAUCUACAUCCACAUACAUAUGCUUUCUUCGGUACAUACAGGAAAUAGAGGUAUUUUAUCUGUAAACAUCCUAUUAGAAUGAUGCUAAAACGCUAUUUUUUCCAUACAUACAGUGGGAAUAACACCCCUCCUCUGACCAACAGCACGACUUUCCAGUUGGCUGUUCCUGAAGCCAGUCCCUCUCCCGGAAAGCCGAGUGAAAGUCCUGCCUCUGGUAUCAGGUGACGACGCUCUCGUUGGCUCUGCGCUUUGACAGUCAGCGCGUCUCCAUGGCUGUGCGCUGGGAAGCUCGUAGUGGUCGGUUUGUGUUUUCGAAGCAGGAAUAAGCAGUUUGUGGAAAGUCUACGAUCCCCAUCAACAUUGCGAUGACUGGAUUCACCCUGCUUCGGAUUUUACUUCAUUUAUUACCGAAACACAACAUGAAGGUUACUGUCGCUUUUGAGGAAUGUCUCAAAGAUUCUCCCAGAUUCAGGGCAGCAAUCGAGGAGGUAGAGGGAGAUGUAUCUGAACUGGAAUCCAAGCUUGAUAAGCUGGUAAAGCUUUGUAUUGGAAUGAUCGAUGCUGGCAAGGCAUACAAUACAGCCAACAAACAGUUUGUGAAUGGAGUCCGAGAACUUGCCCAGCAGUCUGCCAAAGACGAGGUCAUUGAGACCAGCUUGACGAAAUUUGCAGAAAGCCUGCAGGAGAUGAUCAAUUAUCAUACAAUCUUGUUUGACCAAGCCCAGAGAUCCAUCAAGUCACAGCUUAUGACGUUUGUGAAAGAAGAUCUGCGCAAGUUCAAGGAUGCCAAGAAGCAGUUUGACAAGGUCAGCGAGGAGAAAGAGACGGCGCUGGUGAAGAACGCACAGGUGGCUCGCAACAAGCAGCACGAGGUGGAGGAGGCCACUAACAUCCUGACCGCAACCCGGAAGUGUUUCAGACACAUCGCUCUGGACUACGUGCUACAGAUUAACGUCCUACAGUCCAAAAGGAGAUCUGAAAUUUUAAAAUCGAUGCUCUCCUUCAUGUUCGCCCACCACACCUUUUUCCGUCAGGGCUAUGACUUGUUCAGAGAGCUGCAGCCGCUUAUGAAACAGCUAGGAGGGCAGCUGGACCAGCUGGUGGUAGAUGCCGCAAAGGAGAAGCGGGAUAUGGAACAGAAGCACUCCACCAUCCAGCAAAAGGCUGCUCUGCAGGUGACUGUGUCUGAUACAGUGCCAGAUGCCAGAUGCUUUUGUGCUUGGAGGUCAACAGGUGACUUCUCGAAUGACGACACCAAGCUGGAGUAUAAUGUGGACGCCGACAAUGGAAUCGCCAUGGAGGGGUAUCUUUUCAAAAGGGCCAGCAAUGCCUUCAAAACAUGGAACAGGCGCUGGUUCUCUAUUCAAAACAACCAGCUAGUAUACCAGAAGAAGUUUAAGGAUAAUCCCACUGUGGUGGUGGAGGACCUGAGGUUGUGCACAGUGAAACACUGUGAGGACAUUGAGCGACGCUUCUGCUUCGAGGUCGUCUCUCCUACAAAGAGCUGCAUGAUGCAGGCAGACUCUGAAAAGCUGCGGCAGGCGUGGAUUAAGGCUGUUCAGAACAGCAUCGCUACAGCGUUCAGGGAGCAGGGUGAAAGCUCUGAGAAGCUGGACAGGAAGUGUUCCACGUCUACAGGCAGCCUUGAGUCUGGCAGCGAGCUGAAGGAGAAGUCUCUCAAAGGGGAGAGCGCGCUGCAGCGGGUCGAGUGCAUCGCCGGCAAUGCCAGCUGCUGUGACUGUGGGAUGGCUGAACCUCGCUGGGCCAGCAUCAACCUGGGGAUCACACUGUGCAUCGAGUGCUCAGGAAUACACAGGAGUCUCGGGGUCCACUUGUCCAAAGUCCGGUCUCUUACCUUAGACUCUUGGGAGCCUGAACUGCUCAAGGUCAUGUGCGAGUUGGGGAACAGUGUUAUAAACAGCAUAUAUGAGGCUAAUUUGGAAGAGCUGGGUGCCAAGAAGCCACAGCCCGGAGAUCCCAGGCAGGACAUUGAGGCUUACAUCAGAGCAAAGUAUGUUGAGAAAAGGUUUGUCCGGAAACCAACGGCAGCAGAGCAGAGAACGAAGGUUAUAUCUCUGAGCAGGCACGAGAAACGGCUGAGCAGCAGCAGCUCUGAGUACCUGCCACCUCGCCCCCCUCCACCCACCCCCAAAAUAAGACCUGCGUCCCACAUCUCAGCGGCUGCGGCUUGUAGUGACGAGGCCCGCCGGGAGUCUCUCUUCUGUCCCGAUGAGCUAGACUCGCUCUUCUCCUACUUUGACACCUCUUCCAAGCUGCGUAGUAAAAAGAGUGCGGACAGUGGGAUCCAGAACAGUGCUGAUGGAAGCAAGGAGAUGCUGGCCUCUACCCAGUCUGCAAACAGCUUGAGUGAACCUGGUGUUCCAGAGCCUGCUGUUCCAGAGCUUGGGAAGAACUCUACAGGGCUGGUGGAGUUCAAGGAAUGCUGUCCGGGACUCCAGCUGUACUGGGCUGCGUUCGCGUGCAACCUCCCGGACAUGGCCGAGGCACUGGCACAGGGAGCUGAGGUGAACUGGGUGAACACAGAGGCUGACAAGCAAACCCCCUUAAUACAGGCCGUCCAGGGGGGUUCGCUGGUUGCCUGCGAGUUUUUGCUGCAGAACGGUGCUAAUGUGAAUAAUCAUGACGUGCAUGGGAGAGGACCUCUGCAUCACGCCACCGUCCUUGGACACACUGGACAGGUGUGUCUGUUCUUGAAAAGAGGGGCCAGUCAGAAUGCGGUUGAUAAUGACGAUAAAACCCCUCUUUCAAUAGCUGUGGAUGCUGCCAAUGCAGAUAUUGUAACCUUGUUACGGCUGGCGAAGAUGAAUGAUGAGAUGCGGGAAUCGGAGGGACUCUAUGGACAGCCAGGUCAAUAUACCACUAACAGCCACACUGAAAUGCAAUACAAGAAAUGUAUACAGGAGUUCAUAAGCCUGCAGUUGGAGGAGUCUUAGUAUUUAUUUAGGGAACGGUAGCAUUAUAUAGAGGUACUGUGGUUAGAUAAGAUUACAGCCAGAUUUAUGUACAUUUUACACAUGUAUACAUACAGACAUAUAAUACAUACAUACAUACAUGAAUGUGUGAGUCUAUAGUGCUACCAAACUGUGUCAAGGUCAUUCUUCCCAAAACUAUCCCAAGUAUUCAAAAGUAAAUGAGUAUUUAACAAAAGUGUUCAGACUCAGCAGUCCGUAGAAAACUGACAGUACAGAGUUCUGGACGUAACAAGGCUAAAUUACUGUCUUUUAGUAAUAAUAAAUGAAAGUAUUAUGCCUUACAUUUAUUCCAUUAACAGUUAAUAUGCUGCAACAUGAAAAAAUGAUUAGUAAACCGUUUCUAUUAGUCACUAAUAGAAUAGAAGUGUAAUCAGAAGUAUAAAACAUGCAACUUUGGUGGCAAGGUGGUUAAAAAUACAGACUUUAAAAAGAUACAAUUCUGCAUGGAAAAGGGAACAUAGGUCUUAUUUGUUUGCCAACAUUAAUUAAGAAAGAAACAAAAUAAAUAAAUGCCAAAAAUCAAUAUAGCGGGCAUAAUACGAUAUGUAUACAUGUGUUCAAAAUGCAGCACUGGCUUAAACAAAUAAUAAAGGUAUUAUAUUCCAGAUAUUAAGUCUUUUCUUCUUCGCUGUCAGCUGUGAAUUCUAGAAGAAAAGGCUCCUGUACAGUAUUGUAAAUGAGUUUGAUUUCGAAACACCCUUUGCACAAAGCUGGGUGCUUGUCUUCAGUGGGAGCUGCUAGACUGAGAGCUGCCGUGUCGGGGCACCUCUCUCUACAGGCUUCACUGCAGGGGGCCGAUCUGCACCAGAGUGUUCCUGUCACUCUAAAGCAAUGCAAACUCAUCAGCCAAUUAAAGCCAAUACACUCUUAAUUGUUUUAGUGUUUUAAACAUUCCAAUAUCAUUUUGUUUUGUAUUUUUGAAGUCUGAAAGCAAAAUACUUCAUUAUACUGUAUGGUCACCUCAUUCCUCAUAGAAUAGCAGCUGCCCAUCAACUACACAGAAGUCAAAGGGAGAAACUGGAGCUUCUUGUUUGUUAUUUUGUUUUAAUAUAUAAAAUCUGGUAUCAUCUGAAAUGUAUAAAUUAGUGAAAUCCGGAACCAUUUUUGGCCGUUAGAAAUUAAAAGAAAAGGCUAUAUAGAUUUUACAAGCUGUAUCAGGAAUCUGUUCACAUCGGAAUUAUUCAGUACAGCAAUAAGCAGUGUAUAUGCACAAAUGGGCCAGGGAAAUCCUGAGACCGAGUUACAGAUUGGGAUUCAAGUGUGUUUAAAACGUAAUACUGCAGUACCUUUUAAUAGUUUAGAAACUAUUUGUGCUUUAAUUGGUUUAAUUGAAAUCCAGCUGAUUUUCCUCUAGACCUGCCUCUCCCAGUAGAUUUUACUGUUACUUUUAAAAGUAACAGUCCAAAUGUUUUAAAACAUCCGUACCGCUCUGUUUGUUUAUUGUCACUUCUCAUGUUUUUUUUUCUAUUCUCUCAAGUUUGUGCCUUUUCCGUUCUCUGACUGGUUGCUGAGGCCAAUGUAACUGUAAUUUUGUACAUAAAUCCUGCACUUUAAAUACAACAUGGUUGUUAAAGAUAAAAAUAUAAAAAAAAAAAAAAAUCCCAUUUUUGUUGAGAGAAUAAAAAGACAUAAUUGUAUCGUGUGGUUUAGGACAGACUCAUUAUUUCCAAAUUCUAUUUCCAAAUUGAAUGCUGGUUUAAGAAGGAAGUGCUCUCCGUCCAGGUUGAGUCUUUCAUCCUACAGCACAUACCUUGAACUGGUCUGGCUACCUUGUUCCAGAACCACUGAACUGUUAUAAAAUUGCUGCUAAACUUCUGUUGCUUAUCUCUGCCAUCUUUUCUAUUGAGCUGCUUUGAAGCUUUCUCAGGUGAUGAAACUUAUCAAGAUAUUUUCAGAGAUUUCUCUCAGAUGGCUUCAAAUGAUCCAGAGAAACUGAACCGGUUCCAGCAGUAUGACUC